rfam:Triticum aestivum genome assembly, contig: Triticum_aestivum_CS42_TGACv1_scaffold_406474_5BL
AUUCUACUCCCUCUGUUCCACCAUACAUGCCUUCUAUUUGUCAAAAUAUAGAUGUAUCUAGACAUGUUUUAGUAUAUAGGUACAUCCAUUUUUGGACAAAUGGAAGUCAAGUAUUUUGGAACGGAGGGAGUACACA